rnacentral:rRNA from 1 species
GACGAACGCUGGCGGCGCGCUUAAUACAUGCAAGUCGAACGAGAAGCCAGAGCUUGCUCUGGUGGAAAGUGGCGAACGGGUGAGUAACACGUGAGAAACCUGCCCCAAAGAUUGGGAUAAGCCUUGGAACGAGGUCUAAUACCAAAUACCUUCUUUUUAACACAUGUUAAAAAGAAGAAAUGCUCCGGCGCUUUGGGAUGGUCUCGCGAUCUAUCAGCUUGUUGGUGAGGUAACGGCUCACCAAGGCAUCGACGGAUAGCUGGUCUGAGAGGAUGUCCAGCCACAUUGGAACUGAGACACGGUCCAAACUCCUACGGGAGGCAGCAGUAGGGAAUCUUGCACAAUGAGGGAAACCUUGAUGCAGCGACGCCGCGUGCGGGACGAAGGCCCUAGGGUUGUAAACCGCUUUCAGUAGGGACGAAAGUGACGGUACCUACAGAAGAAGCCCCGGCAACUAUGUGCCAGCAGCCG